AUGGGUGGAUUCGGGUCCAGAUUCUGGCAGGAGGGAGUUUGGGAUCGAGAUCUGGAAAAAAGCACUAGACUGGAAGAGGACGCGAUGGAGUCGGAGCCGCUGGCGGGUACAAAAACCAGAGGCCGGGGAAGGCGCCGGUGGGAGGCAAGGCACGGAUGGACUUUACCUGCGCACGCGUCGCAGCCAUCUCCGCGCACAGUGGUGGCCACCGCGACUGGUGCUGAAGUGUCGGCGUGUGCCGGGCGCUCCGCUGGGACCCGGGUUGCUCGCCCUGAGUCUCAGCUUUCUCAUCUGUACGGUUGGGACAAGUACAGUAACCCUCGCCCGUCAAGACGGGCCAGGGCUGUGGCGAGGGUCCACGCCUUAGAGCAGGCACCUAUCUUGUGCAGGGCCCUGAGAUGGGGUCUGACUCAGUUCCUGCGGGGAACUUCACCAGUGACCCAGUCAGUGCCCUUCAGUUAAAGACCACCAGGAGCACACUUGUAAGUAAAUAUAAUUACAUUGCAGCAAGGAAUGGGGUACUAUGGGUCAUCUCAGUGGGAGGAGUUAGAGAGAAACUAUUAUACGAUUUGGACUUUAAUUGGUUGAUUUCGGACAGGAUCUCAGAAAGUGAAGACUUUAGAUUGGAUGCUGUCAGAAAGCAGGAGCAAUAUGAUUAUUAAGUAUUUUGUGGGUGGCAUCAAGACCUUGUUUUUUAUCUGCACUUAGACAACAUUAUAAAGUGCCCUUGUUUUUGUUUGCACUUAUCACGGUCUCAGAUUAACCUUCUGAAGUUGAUAUUCUGUGAGAUUGUUUAUGUCCAACAGGAAAACAAAAUGUCCUGGCCAUGAACAUCAGACCAGCGUGUAAUCACAUUAAGGCCUGUGACCAAAAUAUUGACAGAAUUGAAGUUAGAAAUAGUUCUACAGUAACAGAGUCUUCAAUACUCCAUUUAAAAUAAUGCAUAGAAGCUGGACAUGGUGGCUCAUGCCUUUAAUCUCAGCUACCUGGAAGGCUGCGGCAGGUGGAUUGCUUGAGGUCAGGCGUUCGAGACCAGCCUGGGCCUUUUGGCCUGUCUCGGCUUUUAACAUACCUUCCUCACUCAGCUUAAUCAUUUCUCACUUUAGAUUUAUAAUAAGAGAUGUGUGACUCUUACUUUCACUUGAACACAUAGAGGCCUUUAUAGAGUUAUUAAUUGGCCUAAUUUCAAUAUUGCUGUGUCUCAGAAAACAGACCUGAGGAGAGGGUGAGAUGGAGGAAGGGCAGAUCGAUGGAACCAUUCGAAUACACAUAUGUAUCAAUUAAGCUCAUUGUCUUUUGGAGCAUGGCUUGUGAUGCCCCAAAACAAUGACAAUAGUAAUAUCAAUGAUCACUGAUAACAGAUCACCAUAACAGAUAUAAUAAUAACAAAACAUUUGAAAUAUUGCAAGAAUUACAAAGAUGUAACACAGAGGUGCAAAAUAAGCACAUGCUACCAGAAAAGUGGCACUGGUAGACUUGCUUGGUGCAGGGUUGCCACAAACCUUCAACCUGUACAAACUGCAAUAUCCGAGAAGCAUAAUAAAGUGAAGUGCAAUAAAACAAGUUAAGCUUGUAUAUGUAUGCAUGCACACACCAGUACACAUCCACCUAUCCACACACAAAUCUUUGUACUAACAAAGCCUGUAUUUUCAAUUCCAACAAUACAUCAUUUGUACCUUAAAAAUCUCUGUCAUCCUUGUAGUGUCCUUUUCUGUCUUUGUUAUCAGGGUAAUGCUGGCCUCAUAAAAAAUGUUUGGAAGUGUUCCCUCCUCUUCAACUUUUGGAAGAGUUUGUGAAGAAAUCGUAUUAAUUCUUCUUCAAACAUUUGGUAGAAUUCUCCACUAAGCUAUCUGGUCUUGGAUUUUCCUUUUUCAGGAGCUUUUUGACUACUGACUCAAUAUUUUUAAUCAUUAUUUAUCUGUUUUUAUUUUCUAUUUCUUCAUGUUUCAGUCUAGUGGAUGUAUGUUUCUAGAAAUUUCUCUAUUCUAAGUUAAACAAUUUGUUGACACAUAGUUGUUUAGAGUAGACUAUUAUUAUCCUUUGUAUUUCUAUGGUACCAAUUUUAAUAUCUCCUUUUUUGUUCUAAUUUUAUUUACUUGAGAUUUCUUUUUUCUUGGCCUAGUGAGAGGUUGGUCAAUUUUUAUUAUCUUUUCAAAAAAUCAACUCUUCGUUUCAUUCAUCUUUUCUAUUGUUUUUCUAGUCUAUUUCAUUUAUUUCUGCUAUGAUCUUUGUUAUUUCCUUCUAAUUUUGGGCUUGAUUAUUUUUUUCUAUUUUUUGAGGUUUAUUUGGGAUCUUUUUUCUUUAUUUAGCACUUAUCUGUAUAAACUUCCCUCUCUUAGAACGGCUUUUGCUUCAUCUCAUCAGUUUUAGUAUGUCGUGCUUUCAUUUUAGUUUGUCUCAAGAUAUUUUAUUUCUUUUUUGAUGUUUUCUUUGAUCUACUGGUUAUUCAGGAGUGUGUUGGUUGAUUUCCACAUAUUUGUCACUUUUCUAAGUUUUCUCCUGUUUUUAAUUUCAGUUUCAUGCCACUGUAGUCAAAAAGAAUACUUGGUGAGAUCUCAAUCUUCUUAAAUUUGCUAAGACUUGUUUUCUGGCCUAAUAUAUGACCUAUGUUGGAGAAUGUACUGUGUAUGCUCGAGAAGAAUGUGUAUUUUGCUGUUUUGGAAAGGAAUGUCAUGUAUAUGUCUGGUCCAUUUGAUCUAUAGUGUAGUUCAAGUCAGCUGUUUCCUUAUUGAUUAUCUGUCUGAAUGAUCAAUCCAUUGUUGAAAGUGGGAUAUGGAAGUCCCUUACUGUUAUUGUAUUAUUGUUGUCUACUUCUCUCUUCAGAUUUGUUAAUAUUUGCUUUAUAUAAUUAGGUGCUCCAAUGUUGGGAGAAUAUAUAUUUGCAGUAGUUAUAUCCUCUUGAUGAAUUGAGCCUUGUAUCAUUCUAUAAUGACUUUCUUUGUCUCUUGUUACAGUUUUUGACUUAAAGUCUAUUUUGUUUGUUGUAAGAAUAGCUACUCUUUCUCUUCUUUUGUUCCCUCUCUUUCAGUCUAUGUGUGUCUCUAAAGGUGAAGUGAGUCUCUUAUAGGUGGCAUAUAUUUGGUUCUUGUUUUACUAUCCAUUCAGCCACUCUGUGUCUUUUGUUUCACUGAUUUGGUCCACUGAUAUUUAAAGUAACUAUUGAUAGGCAUUUUGUAGUUUUCUUGUUCUUUUAUUUCUCUCUUGCUGUGCAUGAUUUGAUUACUUUGAUUAUUUUCUGUAGUGGUAUACUUUGAUUCUUUCCUGUGCCUUUGUAUUAAUUCUUUUUUAAACGUGGUAAAAUUCUCAUUUGUGUAUCUGUUACAUGUUUGUCUUUGUGAUUAUCAUGAGGCUUACAUAAAACAUUGUAUGCUAUCGUGUGCCACACAAGGAUGUUUUGGUCAAUGAUGGGCCACAUAUACAACGGUGGUCCCAUAAGGUUAUAACAUUUUUAUUGUACCUUUCAUAUGUUUACAUACAUUAGAUACACAAAUGCUUAUGAUUGUAUUACAGUUGCCUAUAGCAUUCAGUAUAGUACAAUGCUGUACAGAUUUGUAGCCUGGAAACAAUAGGUUAUACCAUAUAGCCUGGGUGUGUGUUAGGUGGUAUUAUCUAAUUUUGUGUAAGUAUACUCUAUGAUAUUCACACCAUGACAAAAUUGCAUUAUUCAGAACAUAUCCGCAUUAAGAAAUGCAUGAUUGUAGUUAUAAUGGUCUAUUUUAAGUUGAUAACAACUUAACUUCAAUCAUAUACAAAAACCCUACACUUUACUCCCCUCCACUUAUGUUUUUUGAUGUCAGAGUUUCUUUCUUUGUAUAUUUUGUAAUUAUAUUUAUUUGUAGUAUUUUUUGUCUUUUAACCUUUUAAAAGUUAAAGUGAUUAUACUGCAUCAUUACAGUAUUAGGAGUAUUUUGAAUUUGACUGUAUAGUUACCAGUGACUUUUUAUAACUGCAUAUGGUUUCAUGAUACUAAUUAGUCUUAUUGCAUUUCAGUUUGAGGAACUCCCUUUAGGGUUUCUUAUAAAGCAGAUCUAGUGACAGUGGACUCCCCUAGAUUACUGUGGGGGGUUUCUGAAAAAGUCUGUAAGUCCUAGCCAGAGCAAUUAGGUAAGAAAAAGAAAUAAAAGGCAUCCAAAUUGGAAAAGAAGUGAAAGUGUGUCUAUUUCAAGAUGACAUGAUCUGUACAGAAGUGGAAUAAAGAGUAGCUGACAACAAUGCUGAAAUAGUUACACAUGAAGUUUUAAUGAGCUAUUUCAUAUUAAGAUACAUAUUGAGAAUUCAAACCAGAGAGACCAGUUAAUUGAUAUUUUCCCAACUCUGUUUUAGGGUGAUCAUAGAAAUGAUACCCACAAGUUAGUCACAGUGGCCUGCAUCCAUUUUGAUAUAUCAGUGACGUAUUCUGAUUGGCCAGUAAUCACCCAUACUGACUGUUAAAUAUUUUUGUUAUCACUCCUAUGCAUGGUGAAUUUGAGUUCUGGUUUUCUUUAGCCUUGUGUUAUUUAUGUGUAAAGUUGGAUCAUGGAAGGCAAAGAAUCUCCCGUGUGUCAUUCACGCUCAAGUAAAUGGCAGUGGGAUAGGGAUGUAAAUGAAACUGCAUGAUAAGCCCUGCAAGUCAUUCUGAUGUAUCGAUUUUGCUUACUGGUGUUUAAUUGCAGACAUUGUCAUAUUAACGCAACCACUAAUACAUUAUGGAGUAAGAUGCAAAAAUCACAUGAGUCUUAACAGAAAAGAAAUGUGAUUUCUGUGGUGGGCCCCUUCUGCAUUAUUCUCUAACUUCUUGUUUUAUACCUCUACUGUUAGAGAAAUUUCAGUAGAAAAUCGUGAGGGGCACUGUUUUAGAGUUUUUGUUGUUAUAGCAAUGCUUUUACUACAGCUAGGUCCCCUUGUACAUCUUUAUGUUCUUUGGCAGUCUAGAGAAUCAGAAGAGCAAACUCUAUGAGAUAGAAACUCUAAGAAUUUACCUCCAGCAUCCCUUCUCUUCUGUCAUUAAAUUGAAUUCAUAGCCAACUCAAAGAUUGACAAUUUAUACUAUGGUUUUUAUAUUUUUAUAUUAUAAUUUAUAUUAUGGCUUAUGUCAAAAUGUUUUGUUCACUGCUUUGAAAGUAUCUUUUGUUUACUUUUGUUAUCAUUUCAUAUUUUAAUUUUUUCCUUUCUAAUUGUUAGAAACUCAUGUAUUUAAUUUUAUCUUUCAAAGAACAUUUUUAAAAGGCUUACUCUGCUUAUAUGUAUAUUUUGCACAAAGCUUUCCAUUCAUAAACAAAAGGUGAAUAGGAAUCAGAAUUGAAAACUACAUAAUUUCUUUUCUCCUUUUGAGUCAAAUCAUCACAGUAUAGAUUAGUCAUUGUGUAUGAAGUGCAUUGCCAAGACAUAGUCACAUUUGUGUACAAAUGUAAAGGCUAUAUCUCAAUAGAAAUAAAAAAACAAAAAAAUGCAGAAGACCAUUAGCUAAUAAUACUAAUAAUCUAGUAUAGAAAGCAUGUGCCAACUGAUCUAGACUCUUGUGACAGUUGUAUAUCUACUCAGCUGCUUGACCUUAGGUGUAUCAAAAUCUCGAUUUCCUAGACUACAAAUGAGUAAGAGGGAUGGAGGCCCCUUACAGUUUUAAGAUUCUGGAAUUCUAAGUGGGUGUAACUGGAGCAAAUUUUAUUUUCUAAAAUUUGCAUAAUAAAUUUUAAAAUAGGAGAAAAACUAAUAAUUAAAGUACAUAUUUCUGGAAGUCUUUUUUAGGUGACUUAUACUACCAGGAAUGGAUUUACCACUAAAUAUUGGUUUUGCCUAAUUCAGCAUUGCUAUGUAAUUUGAUGGAAGUAUAACUCCAUAGACAAAGAGAUUUGGUCCUAACAUAGCUUGUAUUUUAUAUGUAUAUACACUAUUUCUAUUUAAAUUUCUGUGUAGUCAUGUUUUACCCUUUUAAAAUGAAGAUUAGUUUUAUUAUGUAUUUUCUUUUGUCUAUAAACAUUCAGUGAAUUCACACUGAAAACUGAUUAUGAACAGAUAGUCUGCUAGGCACUAAGGAAACACAUAUGAAAAACUAAGUCCUCCUCUGCCCUCAAUAUGCUCACAAGACUACAGUUACUGAAGCCUGACCUCAAAACCUAGCUAACAAAGUCCUUGAAUCAGGUGAUAGUUCAGAAUACCAUUCAUGCUCUCUCCCAAGAGUAUAUCUGAGGAAGGGCAGUUCUUUCUAGUUUUCUACAUCCUGGUCGUAUAGGUCAACCACAGGAAAAUUAAAUGAAUCUAUUGGUUUGUUGACCUAGCCUUUUCAUAUAAGCCUCAUCUAUAAAUGUAUUACCAAAUACUAUUUAUGUAAAGGGACUUGAAUGACAAAUAUUUUGAAAUUAAAACCACAAUGGUUAGCAUAGCUUUUAAAUUAGAUAAAUGUUGACCUCCCAUUGGUGAACAUAUAAAGUGCUACCAAGAUCUGCCAAUGAAAGACUUUGGAAGUGGAAAUUCAUCUUUUUAAUAAUCCUGUUAUCUGUAAGCUGACCUCAAGCCUUCAUGACAUUCAAGGCCCCUUAUUCCUAACUGUAUCUUCUGUUUUGGGCAUUGUGCUCUUGCCAUCUAACAGGAAAACAACUUUCAGUGCUGCCACCUUUUGAACAGCAGAGAUUUCUAGAGAUUAGAAAAUUACUAAAUUUAAAUAUACAUAGUUUUAAAAUAUGAUACUUUUCUACCUAUGCAUUCAAAUAUAUUCUAACUUUUAAAUCCUGUAAAUACUUAUAUUUGUAAUGAUUUUACUUAUAUGAUCCAAUUAAUUGGCAAGAAUAUGUGGUGAAAGAUUUUUUACAUGUUUGUAUUGUUCUGUGUGAGACAUCUACUGUAAGCAUUGCUUCAGGUUCUCAUUUUUGUCUGCCUUCCAGGAUUUGCUGGCCCAAGUGCUGUGUGCUAGACUUAGUCUCGGUCACAGAGGGGAGGGAAACUUGCAGUUGAGCCAGACAGUUUUGUUAUUCCUUUAAAAUUAAAAGCAUAUGAAACAGAUACAGCUUAUUAAGGUUUUUUUAAUAAAUAAAAUAAACUUAAAUAACAAAAUAAUAAAGUUCAAAAACAACUUAAAAUAUAGUUUAAUGCUGUAACCAUAGGAAAAAAGCAUGAUUAUUUGUGGGAAGAACAUUAUUAAAAGCCAUAUUCCCAAAUACGAAUUAUACAAAGAUAGAUUAUGUUACUUGAAAAAAACUUAAAGAUUUCUCAAUUUUACUUUGAGAAAUUAUAAAAUGUUAUUUUGUGGCAAGUAAGAUGAAGUACAGUAUUAUCAUCAAUCACUGUUGCUAUCUUAUAUACAAGAUUUUUGGAAACAUCCUUUUAGCAAUACCCUUUCCACUUGAGCAGCAUUAGAAAUUUUGUUCUUGUUAAUAGGUAUAAGCAUGUUCUAAUCCUGUACUUUUGUUAAAUUAUCUAUUUUAUUGACUUUCGUAAUAGAUUUUUUUGAGAAUAUUCUUUUUUUCUGAUUAGAGUUUAAGUAGAUUAUAAUUUUUCACUAGAAAGCAUUUAAAAUGCUGCUCAUUUUCUAUAGUUAGUGUGGCUUGAUUAUCUGACAAAUCCUGCCAGCAGCCUGUAGGUCUGAUACACCUUAUAUAACAUCAUCUGCAUUAUUAUUAUUAUAGCAGCCAUUUUAUAAGCAGAUAGGAAUAUUUAAAUAAUCAUUAUCAGAUAAUCAAAUCUAACAUACUCUUAAGGGUAAAUUAAUUUAAGAAAAAAAUUACUAUUACUAACAUCAUGAUUGUACAACCAGUUUUACAAUUUUGUACAACCUUUAGUUACUAAAUCUGAUUUUUGUGUAUACUUUUCAAAUCUUUCUUUAAUGCAGUGUCUUAAAACAAACAUAAAUGCACAAGUCAAGCUUGAUCAGUUUUUCAGUAGUUUUCCAGCCUUUCUUGAUUACUA